UUCUUAUCUUGGAUUAAUACAGAUAUUUGCAAAAAGAAAAGGAGUACUUGUGGCACCUUAGAGACUAACAAAUUUAUUAGAGCAUAAGCUUUCGUGAGCUACAGCUCACAAGCUUCAUUUGACUAACACGGCUGCUACUCUGAAA